AGCUUUCUGAAUACGUGUAGAGAUGUCGUCACACAUCAACCCAUUAGGAUUGAUCAGACUUCCAAGAUAAGUGAAGUU
rfam:Schistosoma rodhaini strain Burundi genome assembly, scaffold: SROB_scaffold0000885